CGAAUCGAUUAUCAUCCUCAUGAUGAUACUAUGAUCGGAAGCAUUUAGGAAUUAAUUAUAUAUGUCUUUAAUUCUCAAUACUUUUGAGAAUAUGUAUCGAAGUAUUAAUUUCAUGGAUGAUUCAAGGACACAUUACUCUGAAAUAAAAAUAAAAUUUAUCUUUUUAUUGAUCAAAUCAAUGUAUUAAGUACAAAAUUAUGUCAUAGACUUAUUACAAUGU
rnacentral:lncRNA from 1 species